UACGUAGGGUGCAAGCGUUGUCCGGAUUUAUUGGGCGUAAAGAGCUCGUAGGCGGUUCAGUAAGUCGGGUGUGAAAACUCAGGGCUCAACCCUGAGCUGCCACCCGAUACUGCUGUGACUUGAGUCUGGUAGGGGAGUGGGGAAUUCCUGGUGUAGCGGUGAAAUGCGCAGAUAUCAGGAGGAACACCGGUGGCGAAGGCGCCACUCUGGGCCACGACUGACGCUGAGGAGCGAAAGCCAGGGGAGCAAACGGG
rnacentral:rRNA from 1 species